rnacentral:misc_RNA from 1 species
GAAAUGCGAUAAGUAAUGUGAAUUGCAGAAUUCAGUGAAUCAUCGAAUCUUUGAACGCACAUUGCGCCCGCCAGUAUUCUGGCGGGCAUGCCUGUUCGAGCGUCAUUUCAACCAUCAAGCCCCCGGCUUGUGUUGGGGACCUGCGGCUGCCCGCAGGCCCUGAAAAACAGUGGCGGGCUCGCUGUCACACCGAGCGUAGUAGCAUACAUUCUCGCUCAGGGCGUGCUGCGGGUUCCGGCCGUUAAACGACCUUCAUAACCCAAGGUUGACCUCGGAUCAGGUAGGAAGACCCGCUGAACUUUAGC